ACUGCGCUGUCCACCCCUCAUUCCUGUGGCCUUCCUCUUCGCUCAUCUCCUCACCACCCAACGUGUUCUCAUCUCUUUCUUUCUACCUCCUCCCCUUCGCUAUGAGAGAAGAACCCCAUAGCUCGGCGCGUGCAUUCCUUUUUUUUUUGGGUCCAUCAGCAGCGGCGUGCUCCUCCCCACGAGAUUAGCGACGCGACAAGUGCUGCAAGCAGCACCCACCGGUGCUGGAGACCACGGAUACAAGUGCCGGAGACCCCGCAGCGGCCGGCGUUCAAGAUGUUGGAGGCUAAUGAUAAGUUCUAGAAGGUCAGGUAUGACCAUGAGGCUGCUAAAAAGCCAGGAAGGUUAAAAAAGCCGCCAGGAGAGCCGCUCCCCGCAAGAAGGGGAGUAAGCCUAGCGCCUCAGACCUGCUUCAGCUGGAUGAUACCUCCGAGUUAGAGGAUGAUACUGGAGCGAGUAACCCGGUGAUUGAAGAGAUUCAUGAGAGCCGGAGGCAAACCCGGACCAACAAGGAUGUAGA